UACGUAGGGUGCGAGCGUUGUCCGGAAUUAUUGGGCGUAAAGAACUUGUAGGCGGUUUGUCGCGUCUGCUGUGAAAAUCCGGGGCUCAACCCCGGACUUGCAGUGGGUACGGGCAGGCUAGAGUGUGGUAGGGGAGACUGGAAUUCCUGGUGUAGCGGUGAAAUGCGCAGAUAUCAGGAGGAACACCGAUGGCGAAGGCAGGUCUCUGGGCCACUACUGACGCUGAGAAGCGAAAGCAUGGGGAGCGAACAGG
rnacentral:rRNA from 1 species